UAGUCAUAUGCUUGUCCCAAAGAUUAAGCCAUGCAUGUGCAAGUAUAAGCUAAUAUACGGUGAAACUGCGAAAGGCUCAUUAAAUCAGCUAUAAUUUACUUGAUGAUUAAGCUACAUGGAUAACCGUGGUAAUUCUAGGGCUAAUACAUGCGGAUGGUCCGUAAAGGACGGCAUUUAUUGGAUUAAACCAACCCCCAUGCGGGAGCGGCGAGUCAAGAUAACUGGGCGGAUCGCAGGGCAUUGGCCGGCGACGCAUCAAACAAAUAACUGCCCUAUCAACUUUUGAUGGUAGGAUAGAGGCCUACCAUGGUGACGACGGGUAACGGGGAAUUGGGGUUCGAUUCCGGAGAGGGAGCCUGAGAAAUGGCUACCACUUCCAAGGAAGGCAGCAGGCGCGCAAAUUACCCAAUCCUGACAUAGGGAGGUAGUGACAGGAAAUAACGAGGCAGGGCCAUUAGGUUUUGCGAUUGGAAUGAGAGGUGUUUAAAAGCGAUAACGAGAAACGAUU
rnacentral:rRNA from 1 species